UCGAAUGUAUCGAUAUAUCGACACGAUGGACUGCGCGAGAACGCUUUUAGCGUAGUCAGUCACUGAAAAUGAUAAUAACUAGCCGACUUCGCUAGUUGACGAUCGUAAGUCUCUCUUAAUGAGGUUAAUGGGAGUCACAACCAGUCAGUUUUUCUUUGGGUUUCACUGGUUCGCUGGUGUAGCGAUCGCCAGGCACGGCAUAGAAAUAGUUGGAACGAACGUUUUUCAUGCGCGACGAAAGAAAAGUCGAGUCAAGCUCUGUACAUAACUACAAAAUUGUUCAGAUCUGUUCUUAUUCCCAGACGAAAUCGUACGGAACCGCGUUGUUGGCUCCUAUCCAGGGACUUCCUUUUGUUCCGACGAAUUAUCGCACGGUGCCGUGACUUAUCGUUUGAAACGCGCGCGCCCUGUGCAUGUAAAUGUUGACAGAGGCUGGAGCGGGAAGAGAAACAACC
rnacentral:misc_RNA from 1 species